rnacentral:lncRNA from 1 species
AACACUAAGGACCUUUGAUUUAAUUUUUUCAUAACCUUGAAAUGAACUGAAGGUGGAGGGAGGAGUACGUUUUAAGGUGCCAGGAUUACAUCAGAAUUGCAUUCUUGGGUCAUUGCUCCUGGACAUGCCCUUUCUGUUUCAGACCUGACCUUGGGACCCAGAGCUUUGCAGUUACUCACAGAACUGCACCAGAUGUUAUGGGCAGGUCAGGGGAUACUUACACGUAGUUUAAGCCCCCAUCGAUGUCCCAGACAUAGCAAUGGCUUAUAGCAUCUUUCCUUCCGGGAUUCAGUGCCCUGCUACUAGAUAGAGAUGGCAAAAAGGUGGGGAGUGCUCCAGAACAUUCUAAGCCUGGUAAGUAUUUCUAGUUGAAAUUCUUCAAUCUCACUACAACCCUGACAAGAAACCACGACUUUAAUCUCCCGGCAUGAUUAGUUUUGAUCUUAAGCCGCACAAUAGAGUGAAUGCCCCCAAAUACUCAGAACAAAUCUUAUUAAUGUCAAAACUACAUUACGUACCCUGUAGGAGAUCAGAAAUCAUUCUUUACAUCAAAAGAACAGGAAAGCUUCUGGGAUGCACAGAGAACGUCCCUUUACACCCUUUCCUACAUCCUAAAACAAGCAUUUUAAAAAAAAUAUAUUAAGAGCAAACCGGAAGUUAGCAUUCUGUGCCUACUGAACGUUCUGGUCACAUUCGCACACGUUAACUCAUUUAAGUCCUGCCAACAAAGUAGUCCUGCCACUGUUAACAGUUUCCAUUCGUUGGCAGUGCAGUCGGAGAGAUCUGGAAUUUGCUCAAGGUGACACACUGCAGCAAGCAGGAGUCAGGAUUUGAAUCUGAAGCAGUGUCCUCCCCCACCCCCGCCCCGGCCCAGCCACCACGCAGAAAACACAGGUCUACUACGGGGAAAUUAAUGAUCCGCGGCCUUUCAGAGGUUCUGCGCCAUCAACGGGGAGACAACCUGGUCCUCGUGACUCCUCGGUCUCUCUGUUCUCACCCAAGUGCAUGACUGCGGGAGCAAAGCGACCACGUGAGCCUUCUCCCUACCCCCGCGAGGGCCAGUGCCUGUCUGGCCAAGGGCAAGUCACAGGUGCGCCAACGUGCCAGGACUGGAUCCGGAGCCCGAGGGCUCGAGCUCCCCGGCAGCGUCACUGGACGGACGGGCGGGGACCUCGCCCAGGUGCGGCCUCCGGACGCGGCAGGUCACCAGUGCGCUCAAAGGGAAGCUGGAGACGAAGCGAUCAGCACCGUGAAAUGGGGCCCGCCGGGCCGGGGUGGGGGGGGGCGGUGCGAACGACCUUGGUCGCGGCCUCCAUAACCCCACUGGACGGCCUCCCGCGCUAGCGCCGGGGCCCC